rnacentral:lncRNA from 1 species
CCAGAUCAAAUGGGUCAAUUGGCUCCACUUCCAGAAAGGUCUUGACACUUCUUGAAUUGUCAGGCUAAGACCUGAAGAAGGAGGAACCCCUGGAUUCCUGAGUCAAGGUGGACACAGGCAUCAGCCAAGCCUCUUCAGAUAUACUGUGUACAACUUUGAUUUGGAGAAGAGCCUGCAGAAUACCGAGUUCUGGAGAGGGUCACAGAGAUAUGUGUUCUGCAGAGCCAGAGGCUGUGGUGGCCCAGUGGCUGUUCUGCUGGAUGGUGACAGCAGAGUCUCUCCUGGGUCAACAAUCAGGCUACCAGGCCUACCUGACAGCUUCCACCAUGUAUUCUGCAAAAUAAACAAUAUAGUUCAUGGAAUAC